AGGAGCGGCUGGGGGAGGGGAGGUGACGUCAAGGCUCCGCCUCGCCCCCGACUCCCGGGAGCUGAAGGGGUUCUCCGGCUUCAGUCGGCCUCCCAGUCAGUUGCAGCUGCGGACGCCCAAGCUGCUGCGGGCUCCCCGGCUGCAGUGAUCUCCCUGGUCGCAGCCGUCCCCACGAUGAAAUGCCCACCCCUCUCCUCCCCGCCGAGUCUUGGAGCUACGCCGAGCGCAGGCUACCUCGCACUCAGCACCGGAUCAGCCCUCCAGGGCCCCUCUCCGCGUUGCGUUUACCUCCGGGGCUUCCUAACCCGGUUGGGCAGCGUUUCCCACGCCUCGGACUGCAGCUCAGGACAUGAGCGCUCAACAUGGUACUCCAGCUGCCAUGCCAUGGUGGACUCUACCCCUCUGGACCUGUAAGCGUAAAUAAUCUCUUCUGUGAAUUUCACAGUGACAGAAAAAUGACUAAUACAAUAUGGCAAGUAAUUUUACCCUGGGACUAUUCCCUCAUCUGCACAUUUGUGCUACUAGAUCCCAUCUCUUAUCUUGGUAUCACUUUUAAACAAAUCUUAUCCAGAAACUCUCAGCACCUCACUUGUAAAAUGACGUAUUGGGAUGUCCUCCACGUCUAUUCUCUAACAGAUGGUAUAUCUAAAGGAAUGAUAGGAGCUCUCUACUCCUCAUUGAAGGCCUGUGAAUCAAUUGUGGCCAGUGAGAUGCUAGAGCAAAUAUGCUGGGGCCUGGGGGGUGUAUUUUUUCUAAUAAAGGUACACUAGGAAUAUUAUCUGUAAGGACAUUGUCAGGUUAGGAUAUCAUACUAAGAACUGCUUUAGGUAUCUUGCUUCUUCCACUUGUUCAUUAACAGGAAAUGAUACUAAUGACAAAAAAAAUGGAAAUCGAUUCUUGAAGUUUUCCUUCAGCUGUAAUAAUGUUGGUCUGCUUGGGUAUUUAUAAUAGUUACUAUAUUGACUGUUAGCUUUGAGGUGAUGUAGAAUCACCAUGGAAACAAGUCUCCCCACCUGUCUAUGAGGGAUUAUCCAGUAUAUGUUAAUUGGGGUGUGAAGGCCCACACUAAAUGUGGGUGGUAUUAUUCCAUGUAUGGGUUCCUUACUGGAUAAAAAAGGAGAAAGUGAGAUGAACAGAAGCAGGCAUCACUUUCUGCCUCCUGCUCCUGCUUCCACACUGUCCCUGCCUCGGUAGACGGUAUGCCUUGAAACUGUAAGCCAAAAUAAAAUCUCUUGUUUUUAAA